rnacentral:hammerhead_ribozyme from 1 species
AUCCAGCUGGCAAGUCCCAAAUAGGACGAAACUCGCGUUCUGGAU